rnacentral:rRNA from 1 species
UACGGGGGGGGCAAGCGUUGUUCGGAAUUACUGGGCGUAAAGGGCCAGUAGGCGGCCAACUAAGUCGGAUGUGAAAUCCCCAGGCUUAACCUGGGAACUGCAUCCGAUACUGGAUGGCUUGAAUUCGGGAGAGGGAUGCAGAAUUCCAGGUGUAGCGGUGAAAUGCGUAGAUAUCUGGAGGAAUACCGGUGGCGAAGGCGGCAUCCUGGACCGACAUUGACGCUGAACGGCGAGAGCUAGGGGAGCAAACGGG